UCGAGUUACACAAACUCCCCAAACCCGUGUGAACUUAUACCCUCACCGUUGCUUCGGCGUGGUUCGGCCCCGGCAACAGGCUCGAGAGAGUCUGCCCGGAACCAGGCGCCCGCCGGGGGACCCAAAACCCUCGUAUUUUUUUUUGUUGGCAUGUCUGAGUGGAAUCAUGUGAAAAUGAAUCA
rnacentral:misc_RNA from 1 species